rnacentral:rRNA from 1 species
GAUGAACGCUGGCGGUAUGCUUAACACAUGCAAGUCGAACGGACUCUUCGGAGUUAGUGGCGGACGGGUGAGUAACGCGUGAGAAUCUGGCCUUGGGUUCGGGACAACCACUGGAAACGGUGGCUAAUACCGGAUGUGCCGAGAGGUAAAAGAGAAAUUGCCUGAAGAUGAGCUCGCGUCUGAUUAGCUAGUUGGUGAGGUAAAGGCUCACCAAGGCAGCGAUCAGUAGCUGGUCUGAGAGGAUGACCAGCCACACUGGGACUGAGACACGGCCCAGACUCCUACGGGAGGCAGCAGUGGGGAAUUUUCCGCAAUGGGCGAAAGCCUGACGGAGCAAUACCGCGUGAGGGAAGAAGGCUCUUGGGUUGUAAACCUCUUUUCUUAGGGAAGAACAAAAUGACGGUACCUAAGGAAUCAGCAUCGGCUAACUCCGUG